rnacentral:rRNA from 1 species
ACGUAGGGUGCAAGCGUUGUCCGGAUUUACUGGGCGUAAAGAGCGCGUAGGCGGUCUGUUAAGUGUAGAGUGAAAUCUCCGGGCUCACCCCGGAAACUGCUCUGCAUACUGGCAGACUUGAGGGAUGCAGAGGUUUGUGGAAUUCCUGGUGUAGCGGUGAAAUGCGUAGAUAUCGGGAGGAACAUCCGUGGCGAAGGCGGCUACCUGGACCAGCACUGACACUGAGGCACGAAAGCGUGGGGAGCAAACAGGA